rnacentral:lncRNA from 1 species
CAAAAAGGAAAAUCAAAAAUCAAAAGGCAAAAUCAAAAGUCCAAAAACAUCAAACGAAUGGAUAACAACUGUCAUAUUCCUGACUUGGUACAGGCAUUUUCUAAUGUAGAAAAUGGUGGAUUGAACCUGGUUUUAUAGCUAGCUAAACCUCUCACUUUUAUGACAGUCGCAUCAAAUUCCAUUACAUUGUCAACGAUGCAUGAACAAAACAAACAUACUCAAAGAGUAAAAAUGUCAACAAUAGGGGUACAACAGUCAAUAUUGUGUUAUCAUCUUAAUAUCACUACAUAAACAACAAAUGUAACAAAGUAGCACAAAAAGGCAUACAUCAAAUUUAACAUUCUCAUUUUGCUUAUCUUAUACGGCUGAAUUUAUCUAUGUAAAGUCUACCCAUAAAUGAAAGAAGGUUUUCAUUACUGGUGUAAAAUUGCGCGUUUGAA